UACGUAGGGUGCAAGCGUUGUCCGGAAUUAUUGGGCGUAAAGAGCUCGUAGGCGGUUUGUCGCGUCGGCUGUGAAAACUCGGGGCUCAACCUCGGGUCUGCAGUCGAUACGGGCAGGCUAGAGUUCGGUAGGGGAGACUGGAAUUCCUGGUGUAGCGGUGAAAUGCGCAGAUAUCAGGAAGAACACCAAUGGCGAAAGCAGCUCUCUGGGACGGUACUGACGCUGAGACGCGAAAGCGUGGGGAGCGAACAGG
rnacentral:rRNA from 1 species